CACAAGGGGUGAAGCUUGCGGUUCAAUUGGAGUCAACGCCAGAAAUCUUACCCGGAGAGACAGCAGAAUGAAGGUCAAGCUGAAGACUUUACCAGACAAGCUGAGAGGUGGUGCAUGGCCGUCGCCAGCUCGUGCCGUGAGAUGUCCUGUUAAGUCAGGUAACGAGCGAGAUCCCUGCCUCUAGUUGCCACCAUUACUCUCAGGAGUAGUGGGGCGAAUUAGCGGGACCGCCGCAGUUAAUGCGGAGGAAGGAAGGGGCCACGGCAGGUCAGUAUGCCCCGAAACUCUGGGGCCACACGCGGGCUGCAAUGGUAACGACAAUUGGUUUCGAAUCCGAAAGGAUGAGGUAAUCCUCAAACGUUACCACAGUUAUGACUGAGGGCUGCAACUCGCCCUCACGAAUAUGGAAUCCCUAGUAACUGCGUGUCAUUAUCGCGCGGUGAAUACGUCCCUGCUCCUUGCACACACCGCCCGUCGUUUCAUUGAAGUGAGCUUUUAGCGAGGUGACGUCUAAUUGGCGUUAUCGAACUUGAGGUUCGUGACAAGGGAAAAGUCGUAACAAGGUGACCGUAGGGGAACCUGCGGUCGGAUCACCUCCUU
rnacentral:rRNA from 1 species